rnacentral:rRNA from 1 species
AUACGAAGGGGGCUAGCGUUGUUCGGAAUCACUGGGCGUAAAGCGCACGUAGGCGGAUUGUUAAGUGAGGGGUGAAAUCCCAGGGCUCAACCCUGGAACUGCCUUUCAUACCGGCAAUCUCGAGUUCGAGAGAGGUAAGUGGAAUUCCGAGUGUAGAGGUGAAAUUCGUAGAUAUUCGGAGGAACACCAGUGGUGAAGGCGGCUUACUGGAUCGAUACUGACGCUGAGGCGCGAAAGCGUGGGGAGCAAACAGGAUUAGAUACCCUGGUAGUCCACGCCGUAAACUAUGAGAGCUAGCCGUCGGCAAGUACACUUGUCGGUGGCGCAGCUAACGCAUUAAGCUCUCCGCCUGGGGAGUACGGUCGCAAGAUUAAA